rnacentral:rRNA from 1 species
CCUACGUGGGGCAGCAGUGGGGAAUAUUGCGCAAUGGGCGAAAGCCUGACGCAGCGACGCCGCGUGAGGGAUGAAGGUCUUCGGAUCGUAAACCUCUGUCAGCAGGGAAGAACGGUCACUGUGCUAAUCAGCAGUGAAUUGACGGUACCUGCAAAGGAAGCACCGGCUAACUCCGUGCCAGCAGCCGCGGUAAUACGGAGGGUGCGAGCGUUAAUCGGAAUUACUGGGCGUAAAGCGCUCGUAGGCGGUAUGUCAAGUCAAGGGUGAAAUCCCCGCGCUCAACGUGGGAACUGCCUUUGAAACUGGCAAACUGGAGUGUGUGAGAGGAUAGUGGAAUUCCAGGUGUAGGAGUGAAAUCCGUAGAUAUCCGGAGGAACAUCAGUGGCGAAGGCGACUAUCUGGCACAUAACUGACGCUGAGGAGCGAAAGCGUGGGUAGCAAACAGGAUUAGAUACCCCAGUAGUC